GUCGUGUGUUAAAUAACUUUUUCUCUGUCUUACGGAGCAACAUAGAAUCAGCUAAUCCCUUAUGGUGACCUGGGACACAUAUGUGAGGUAGAAAGGUUGGUUGUGGGAACUAGUCAGCCUGCCAGUCAAGAAAUUAUAUAGAUCAGCUGAUUAUGGAUUCUGUGUCUAGUUCUAUUCCUUUGAGUGGCAGGAGAUGCAAAUCAAGCAGUUAUUGCAUUGCAAGGAAGGACAUGCAUCCAGAAGGCGCUUCACAUGAAGAUGUUUGUUUCUUAAUGGAUGAAGUUCUGUGUUAUUGGAGAUAUCAGAUAUCAUUUUGUAAAGUCAGAUGUAUGUUUGUGUCUUCG